rnacentral:rRNA from 1 species
GGACUACUAGGGUUUCUAAUCCUGUUUGCUCCCCUAGCUUUCGUCAUUCAGCGUCAGUUGUGGUCCAGCGCGCCGCUUUCGCCACGGGUGUUCCUGCAGAUAUCUACGCAUUUCACCGCUACACCUGCAAUUCCACGCGCCUCUCCCACACUCAAGCACAGCAGUUUUGGAAGCAGCCUCUGGGUUGAGCCCAGAGAUUUCACUCCCAACUUGCCACACCGCCUACUGACCCUUUACACCCAGUAAUUCCGAACAACGCUGGCCCCCUACGUCUUACCGCGGCGGCUGGCAC